rnacentral:rRNA from 1 species
GAUGAACGCUGGCGGCGUGCUUAACACAUGCAAGUCGAACGAGGUCCAACCUUCGGGUGAAGACCUAGUGGCGAACGGGUGAGUAACACGUGGGCAAUCUGCCCUCCACUCUGGGAUAGCCCCCGGAAACGGGAGCUAAUACCGGAUACUUCGGAAUGGUCGCAUGGCCGAUCCGAGAAAGCUCCGGCGGGGGAGGAUGAGCCCGCGGCCCAUUAGCUUGUUGGCGGGGUAACGGCCCACCAAGGCGACGAUGGGUAGCCGAGCUGAGAGGCUGAUCGGCCACACUGGGACUGAGACACGGCCCAGACUCCUACGGGAGGCAGCAGUGGGGAAUCUUGCGCAAUGGGCGAAAGCCUGACGCAGCAACGCCGCGUGCGGGAUGAAGGCUCUCGGGUCGUAAACCGCUUUCAGUAGGGACGAAACUGACUGUACCUACAGAAGAAGCCCCGGCUAAAUACGUGCCAGCAGCCGCCGUAAUAC